GCUUACGGCCAUACCAGCCUGGGUACGCCCGAUCUCGUCUGACCUCGGAAGCUAAGCAGGGUCGGGCCUGGUUAGUACUUGGAUGGGAGACCGCCUGGGAAUACCAGGUGCUGUAAGCA
rnacentral:rRNA from 1 species